GGGGGGGGUGCUAUACAUGCAGUCGAGCGAAUGGAUUAAGAGCUUGCUCUUAUGAAGUUAGCGGCGGACGGGUGAGUAACACGUGGGUAACCUGCCCAUAAGACUGGGAUAACUCCGGGAAACCGGGGCUAAUACCGGAUAACAUUUUGAACCGCAUGGUUCGAAAUUGAAAGGCGGCUUCGGCUGUCACUUAUGGAUGGACCCGCGUCGCAUUAGCUAGUUGGUGAGGUAACGGCUCACCAAGGCAACGAUGCGUAGCCGACCUGAGAGGGUGAUCGGCCACACUGGGACUGAGACACGGCCCAGACUCCUACGGGAGGCAGCAGUAGGGAAUCUUCCGCAAUGGACGAAAGUCUGACGGAGCAACGCCGCGUGAGUGAUGAAGGCUUUCGGGUCGUAAAACUCUGUUGUUAGGGAAGAACAAGUGCUAGUUGAAUAAGCUGGCACCUUGACGGUACCUAACCAGAAAGCCACGGCUAACUACGUGCCAGCAGCCGCGGUAAUACGUAGGUGGCAAGCGUUAUCCGGAAUUAUUGGGCGUAAAGCGCGCGCAGGUGGUUUCUUAAGUCUGAUGUGAAAGCCCACGGCUCAACCGUGGAGGGUCAUUGGAAACUGGGAGACUUGAGUGCAGAAGAGGAAAGUGGAAUUCCAUGUGUAGCGGUGAAAUGCGUAGAGAUAUGGAGGAACACCAGUGGCGAAGGCGACUUUCUGGUCUGUAACUGACACUGAGGCGCGAAAGCGUGGGGAGCAAACAGGAUUAGAUAC
rnacentral:rRNA from 1 species